GGGUUGUGAGGUUAAGCGACUAAGCGUACACGGUGGAUGCCCUGGCAGUCAGAGGCGAUGAAGGACGUGCUAAUCUGCGAAAAGCGUCGGUAAGGUGAUAUGAACCGUUACAGCCGGCGAUGUCCGAAUGGGGAAACCCAGUGCAAUUCGUUGCACUAUCGUUAACUGAAUACAUAGGUUAACGAGGCGAACCGGGGGAACUGAAACAUCUAAGUACCCCGAGGAAAAGAAAUCAACCGAGAUUCCCCCAGUAGCGGCGAGCGAACGGGGAGCAGCCCAGAGUCUGAAUCAGCUUGUGUGUUAGUGGAACGGUCUGGAAAGUCCGACGGUACAGGGUGAUAGUCCCGUACACCAAAAUGCACAGGCUGUGAACUCGAAGAGUAGGGCGGGACACGUGGUAUCCUGUCUGAAUAUGGGGGGACCAUCCUCCAAGGCUAAAUACUCCUGACUGACCGAUAGUGAACCAGUACCGUGAGGGAAAGGCGAAAAGAACCCCGGCGAGGGGAGUGAAAAAGAACCUGAAACCGUGUACGUACAAGCAGUGGGAGCACCUUUAUGGUGUGACUGCGUACCUUUUGUAUAAUGGGUCAGCGACUUAUAUUCUGUAGCAAGGUUAACCGUAUAGGGGAGCCGCAGGGAAACCGAGUCUUAACUGGGCGUUAAGUUGCAGGGUAUAGACCCGAAACCCGGUGAUCUAGCCAUGGGCAGGUUGAAGGUUGGGUAACACUAACUGGAGGACCGAACCGACUAAUGUUGAAAAAUUAGCGGAUGACUUGUGGCUGGGGGUGAAAGGCCAAUCAAACCGGGAGAUAGCUGGUUCUCCCCGAAAGCUAUUUAGGUAGCGCCUCGUGAACUCAUCUUCGGGGGUAGAGCACUGUUUCGGCUAGGGGGUCAUCCCGACUUACCAACCCGAUGCAAACUACGAAUACCGAAGAAUGUUAUCACGGGAGACACACGGCGGGUGCUAACGUCCGUCGUGAAGAGGGAAACAACCCAGACCGCCAGCUAAGGUCCCAAAGUCAUGGUUAAGUGGGAAACGAUGUGGGAAGGCACAGACAGCCAGGAUGUUGGCUUAGAAGCAGCCAUCAUUUAAAGAAAGCGUAAUAGCUCACUGGUCGAGUCGGCCUGCGCGGAAGAUGUAACGGGGCUAAACCAUGCACCGAAGCUGCGGCAGCGACACUAUGUGUUGUUGGGUAGGGGAGCGUUCUGUAAGCCUGCGAAGGUGUGCUGUGAGGCAUGCUGGAGGUAUCAGAAGUGCGAAUGCUGACAUAAGUAACGAUAAAGCGGGUGAAAAGCCCGCUCGCCGGAAGACCAAGGGUUCCUGUCCAACGUUAAUCGGGGCAGGGUGAGUCGACCCCUAAGGCGAGGCCGAAAGGCGUAGUCGAUGGGAAACAGGUUAAUAUUCCUGUACUUGGUGUUACUGCGAAGGGGGGACGGAGAAGGCUAUGUUAGCCGGGCGACGGUUGUCCCGGUUUAAGCAUGUAGGCUGGUUGUCCAGGCAAAUCCGGAUAAUCAAGGCUGAGGUGUGAUGACGAGGCACUACGGUGCUGAAGUAACAAAUGCCCUGCUUCCAGGAAAAGCCUCUAAGCAUCAGGUAACAUUAAAUCGUACCCCAAACCGACACAGGUGGUCAGGUAGAGAAUACCAAGGCGCUUGAGAGAACUCGGGUGAAGGAACUAGGCAAAAUGGUGCCGUAACUUCGGGAGAAGGCACGCUGGUGUGUAGGUGAAGUCCCUGCGGAUGGAGCUGAGACCAGUCGAAGAUACCAGCUGGCUGCAACUGUUUAUUAAAAACACAGCACUGUGCAAACACGAAAGUGGACGUAUACGGUGUGACGCCUGCCCGGUGCCGGAAGGUUAAUUGAUGGGGUUAUCCGUAAGGAGAAGCUCUUGAUCGAAGCCCCGGUAAACGGCGGCCGUAACUAUAACGGUCCUAAGGUAGCGAAAUUCCUUGUCGGGUAAGUUCCGACCUGCACGAAUGGCGUAAUGAUGGCCAGGCUGUCUCCACCCGAGACUCAGUGAAAUUGAACUCGCUGUGAAGAUGCAGUGUACCCGCGGCAAGACGGAAAGACCCCGUGAACCUUUACUAUAGCUUGACACUGAACAUUGAGCCUUGAUGUGUAGGAUAGGUGGGAGGCUUUGAAGCGUGGACGCCAGUCUGCGUGGAGCCAACCUUGAAAUACCACCCUUUAAUGUUUGAUGUUCUAACGUUGGCCCCUUAUCGGGGUUGCGGACAGUGUCUGGUGGGUAGUUUGACUGGGGCGGUCUCCUCCCAAAGCGUAACGGAGGAGCACGAAGGUUAGCUAAUCCUGGUCGGACAUCAGGAGGUUAGUGCAAUGGCAUAAGCUAGCUUGACUGCGAGCGUGACGGCGCGAGCAGGUGCGAAAGCAGGUCAUAGUGAUCCGGUGGUUCUGAAUGGAAGGGCCAUCGCUCAACGGAUAAAAGGUACUCCGGGGAUAACAGGCUGAUACCGCCCAAGAGUUCAUAUCGACGGCGGUGUUUGGCACCUCGAUGUCGGCUCAUCACAUCCUGGGGCUGAAGUAGGUCCCAAGGGUAUGGCUGUUCGCCAUUUAAAGUGGUACGCGAGCUGGGUUUAGAACGUCGUGAGACAGUUCGGUCCCUAUCUGCCGUGGGCGCUGGAGAAUUGAGGGGGGCUGCUCCUAGUACGAGAGGACCGGAGUGGACGCAUCACUGGUGUUCGGGUUGUCAUGCCAAUGGCACUGCCCGGUAGCUAAAUGCGGAAGAGAUAAGUGCUGAAAGCAUCUAAGCACGAAACUUGCCCCGAGAUGAGUUCUCCCUGAGACUUUAAGUCUCCUGAAGGAACGUUGAAGACGACGACGUUGAUAGGCCGGGUGUGUAAGCGCAGCGAUGCGUUGAGCUAACCGGUACUAAUGAACCGUGAGGCUUAACCUUACAACGCCGAAG
rnacentral:rRNA from 1 species